GGCAGUAGCCCCCGGCCGGGCAGGCCUGCGGCUCGGGGCGAGCGGGCCUUACCUUGGAAGAUGGCCAGGAGGCUGUAGGCAGCCAGGAAGGCAGCAGAAGGGAAGGGAAAAAGCAAAGUGAGUGGAGCUUGCUACAAAAUAUACUGUGUUCAGAUUAUGAACACCACUGCCAUUUGCCAUGACAGUCACUCAUGGCAUGAAAUAUCUCGAAACGACAUUAGAUGGCACACACAGAACAGCAGGGAUAAUUUUUAAUUAAGAGGGAAUGAAGAAGUGGGUUGUGCAGCACGAUAAUGGAAGUUGCCUCUCAGACACUGAGCAUCGAUCAGCCACUCCUGCUCCAAGUUUUCAAGGCUGUCGUAGGAACACUAAGUCACAGUAAAUAAAUCCUUAAAGACUUCAAGAGAUUUGGGGGCCCUCCUGGCUAACUUAUUCACUGCAUUUUUGGACUAUUUCCUGCUCCAAAGAUGGUGCAGUUCUCCAGAACCUCGGAGCAACACAGCAAAGCAUACAUCGGCAAAAUGCCUUUUUUGCACUUAGAGACUUUUAAUUCUUCAAUAUAAAACAACCCAAUGCCAAUGUAGAACUACCCCAAUUAUUUUAAAACUGGAUACAUUUCUUCUUCUGAUUUCCUGGAAUAGCUCCAUAUUUUCUUCUGUGUAACAAAGGAACGAAUUCGUCAGAUGACUAAGAGACAAAGCAUCAGCUUUGGUGAUUCAUUCUAGCUCAAAAAUGAGCUUGCACAAAACAAUAUAAAAGAAAGAGCAUUUUCUCAGUACAGAUUUCUAGAUAUCUGCUUUAUAGCAAUUGUAUACAUGCCACAAAAGCAAAUCAUUCAAGAUAGGUCUGCACCAAAGCGCAAGUAAUAAUAGCAUUGCCUACUUUUGUAUCCUUCUGGUGACUGAAAGCAAUGUGCGUAGUUCAAGGAUUGCUUACUCUUUACUGAAAUGCAGCCACUUCAGGGACACAUCAUGUUAUUGUUGUGUCCCUUGGUACAAUAGUAAAUUUUCAAAAGUAGAAGUUCUUUCAAUGAAAGACAGAGCAAAUAGUGAUAAAAAUUACAAUGGAAAUAGAAACCAUGAAGUUGUU